rnacentral:rRNA from 1 species
AGCAGCCGCGGUAAUUCCAGCUCCAAUAGCGUAUAUUAAAGUUGUUGCAGUUAAAAAGCUCGUAGUUGAAUUUCGGGACCAAUAUGUCGGUCGUACUUUGUACGUACUAGCAUUAUUGGUUUCUCCCUUCUGAAGAACCACGAUGUCAUUAAUUUGGUGUCGUGGGGAAUCAGGACUGUUACUUUGAAAAAUUAGAGUGUUUAAAGCAGGCUCGCGCUUGAAUACAUUAGCAUGGAAUAAUGAAAUAGGACGUUUGAUUCUAUUUUGUUGGUUUCUAGGAUCGACGUAAUGAUUAAUAGGGAUAGUUGGGGCAUUAGUAUUCAAUUGUCAGAGGUGAAAUUCUUGGAUUUAUUGAAGACUAACUACUGCGAAAGCAUUUUGCCAAGGAUGUUUUCAUUAAUCAAGAACGAAGUUAGGGGAUCGAAGACGAUCAGAUACCGUCGUAGUCUUAACCAUAAACUAUAGCCGAACUAGGGAUCGGAUGAUGUUAAUUUUUAAUGUACUCAUUCGGCGCCUUACG